UCCUCCUCUCAAUGGGCAAAGAGAUACAUUGUUGGUUGUAUUAGACUUACAUCAGUCAGGUGCUGAACAGAUGAACUUCCAUUGUUUAUCCAAGCUUGAUACCUGGCUCGGUGGCCAAAGCUGUUUUAUGCCUAGGACUCAUUU